rnacentral:rRNA from 1 species
UAGUCCACGCCGUAAACGAUGGGCACUAGGUGUAGAGGGUAUUGACCCCUUCUGUGCCGAAGCUAACGCAUUAAGUGCCCCGCCUGGGAAGUACGGCCGCAAGGCUAAAACUCAAAGGAAUUGACGGGGCCCGCACAAGCGGUGGAGCAUGUGGUUCAAUUCGACGCAACGCGCAGAACCUUACCUGGGUUUGACAUCCCCUGACCGCCAUGGAAACAUGGUUUUCCCUUCGGGGACAGGGUGACAGGUGCUGCAUGGCUGUCGUCAGCUCGUGUCGUGAGAUGUUGGGUUAAGUCCUGCAACGAGCGCAACCCUUGUCCAUAGUUGCCAUCAGGUUAUGCUGGGAACUCUAUGGAGACUGCCGGUGAUAAGCCGGAGGAAGGUGGGGAUGACGUCAAGUCCUCAUGGGCCCUUACAUCCAGGGGCUACACACGUACUACAAUGGUCGGUACAGUAGGUUGCAAUACCGUGAGGGUGGGAGCCAAUCCCUAAAACCGGGCCUCAGUUCA